rnacentral:rRNA from 1 species
CAGUAGCCACGGGAAUACGAAGGGGGCUAGCGUUGCUCGGAAUUACUGGGCGUAAAGGGAGCGUAGGCGGACAUUUAAGUCAGGGGUGAAAUCCCAGAGCUCAACUCUGGAACUGCCUUUGAUACUGGGUGUCCUGAGUGUGAUAGAGGUAUGUGGAACUCCGAGUGUAGAGGUGAAAUUCGUAGAUAUUCGGAAGAACACCAGUGGCGAAGGCGACAUACUGGAUCAUUACUGACGCUGAGGCUCGAAAGCGUGGGGAGCGAACAGGAUUAGAUACCCCCGUAGUCCCUGUCUCUUAUAC